CCCCAUCCAUCCUCACCUCAAUAUGGUGCAGUCGUCCUGUCCCCUUUGCAGAAAAGCAUCCCCAAAGAAUGAUGUUGCCUCGAUUGCACUGUAUAUGCCUUGAUUGGUGGAACUAAGUUGCAUAGGAACUGAAUAUUUAAGGAGAGCAGAGUGAGGCAGUAGAAGAUUAAGAACUGGACAACAAGUUUCCACAAAAGAAAAAGAAGUCUAAGAAGAUUGAGUUCCAGGAGGAAGAGGAGAUACUGGAGAAGGAAGAUGCUAUUGAGGAUAAUGAGGGGGAAAACAAUGAUGACGUCUCCUUCAGCUCCCAGUCUGGUCCGACGUGGACUACACGUAUGAUGAGCUCCUGAACCGUGUUUUUAACAUAAUGAGGGAGAAGAACCUUGACAUGGUGGCCGGAGAGAAGAGGAGGUUUGUUAUGAAGCCCCCGCUGGUGGUCAGAGUGGGCAUUAAGAAGUCCUCGUUUACUUCACUGAUAACUGUAAACUAGGAAUAUUUGACGUGUCACACCUGUCGCUCUCCUGACACCAUCUUGCAAAAGGACACCCGUCUCUACUUCCUCCAGUGUGAGACCUGCCAUUCACGUUGCUCUGUGGCCAGGAUCAAGACUGGCUUCCAGGCUGUCACAGGCAAGAGGGCACAGCUCCAUGCCAAAGCCAACUAAGGCUACACCAGUCCUGGCUUCCCCUGUUCCAUCCCUGGGCCGGAGCUUUGGAUUCUGUUGAUUGGAUUGGGAGGGGUUUGUUUUUGUUGCUUCACUAUGGUGUGAGAGAAACAUAUAUAUUUUUUGACAUAAGAAGCAUUGCAGAAAAACCCAAUUGUUUUUUACGUUAUUCACCUUGAACUAUUCUGUUCCCUCAAAGAAAGCCUUCCUAACACAUUUCCCUUCCUUGGUAUCCUGUUCAUAUAUAUAACUAUUGAAUUAAAUGCUAUUAUAACAAAGUAAUUGAUAUUAGCUACCCACUGGUUCAAGUAUUCUGAAGUAUUAUACAUUGUACAUUCACAUAGUAAAUAUACAUUCAUAAAUGCAUUCAGGGAGCUCUGUUCAGUAUCACAUAGACCAUAUUUAGACUGGUAAACUGUAUUGGCCUUUUUGCUCAGCCAGAAGUGUCAGUAGGAUUUAAUGUGAAAUGUGUUAUGUCCAAAGUUUCCUCUUCUGUACAAUCCUCUGCUGCUUUUACUUGCUUAUCUGAUAUGUUAAUCCUAGGAUCAGGAUGAAGCUUCAUCAUGGAAGACUGGUAAAAAAAAAAUAGCUGUCUGUCCUUUGAAUGUGUGGCUUGACUGAAACUAAAGUAUAUAUUGAAAAUAUUAGGAUGACGUGCGCAUGCUUUUAUGGCAAUCACGUUUAUUUCUAUUUCCUAAUUUUUAAAGUGGGCACCUGGGGUAAAGCUCUUUUUUCAACAAUACUAAAAGGGCUUUAUACAAUACGUGAUU
ensembl:lncRNA